AACGGGUGAGGAACACGUGAAGAAUCUGCCCUCCACUUGGGAUAACUCCGGGAAACCGGGGCUAAUACCGAAUAUUGAAAUAUAAGUGGCAUCACUGAAUUUUGAAAGAAUUUGGUGGAGGAUGACUUCGCGGCCUAUCAGCUUGUUGGUGAGGUAAUGGCUCACCAAGGCAACGACGGGUAGCCGGCCUGAGAGGGCGACCGGCCACACUGGGACUGAGACACGGCCCAGACUCCUACGGGAGGCAGCAGUGGGGAAUAUUGGGCAAUGGACGGAAGUCUGACCCAGCGACGCCGCGUGCGGGAUGAAGGCCUUCGGGUUGUAAACCGCUUUCAGUAGGGAAGAAGCGAAAGUGACGGUACCUACAAAAGAAGCACCGGCUAACUAUGUGCCAGCAGCCGCGGUAAUACAUAGGGUGCAAGCGUUGUCCGGAAUUAUUGGGCGUAAAGAGCUCGUAGGUUGUUCGUUACGUCGGAUGUGAAAAUCUGGGGCUCAACCCCAGACCUGCAUUCGAUACGGGCGAACUAGAGUGUGGUAGGGGAGACUGGAAUUCCUGGUGUAGCGGUGGAAUGCGCAGAUAUCAGGAGGAACACCAAUGGCGAAGGCAGGUCUCUGGGCCAUUACUGACACUGAGGAGCGAAAGUCUGGGGAGCGAACAGGAUUAGAUACCCUGGUAGUCCAGACCGUAAACGGUGGGCGCUAGUUGUGGGAACCUUCCACGGUUUCUGCGACGCAGCUAACGCAUUAAGCGCCCCGCCUGGGGAGUACGAUCGCAAGAUUAAAACUCAAAGGAAUUGACGGGGCCCCGCACAAGCAGCGGAGCAUGCGGCUUAAUUCGACGCAACGCGAAGAACCUUACCAAGGCUUGACAUAUAGGGAAAAGCAAUAGAGAUAUUGUGUCCGCAAGGGCUCUAUACAGGUGGUGCAUGGUUGUCGUCAGCUCGUGUCGUGAGAUGUCGGGUUAAGUCCCGCAACGAGCGCAACCCUCGUCCUGUGUUGCCAGCAUUUAGUUGGGGACUCACGGGAGACUGCCGGGGUUAACUCGGAGGAAGGUGGGGAUGACGUCAAAUCAUCAUGCCCCUUAUGUCUUGGGCUGCACGCAUGCUACAAUGGCCGGUACAAAGGGCUGCGAAACCGUAAGGUUUAGCGAAUCCCAAAAGCCGGUCUCAGUUCGGAUUGAGGUUUAAA
rnacentral:rRNA from 1 species